CACCAAGGCAGGCAUCGUCAUUCUGCAUAUGCAGGCCUUGACUGGCAGCAGAGCUCACUGUCCUGAUGGGUACGUCAGUAGCACACAGAAGGAUGAAGGGCCGAAUCAGCUCUGGGUUCAACAGCGACUCCUCAAGAGGCCGGUCCACGUGGAAGUCAUGGAUGUGGGGGGGCCCUGGAUGGGCCUUGGGGGCAGGUCCCCCUAGACGCUGAGGAAUCGGCAGCUCAGAUGGAUGGGCAGGCAGGGGAGCUGUGAAGAAGUACUGAUGGAGGAGAGCCUGAGGGUGGCAAGCCUCUGCCCACCAUUUCUCUCUUCAGCGAACACCUCCUCAAACAUCUCAUGCUUAAACCUGCCCUCCACCAGGAAGCUUUGCUUGACCCCAAAGUCGGCCUUGCCUCUCUCCUGGGGCUCCCACAGCUGGAGAACAUGACCUCUUGUGACCUUUUGGACCUGGAGCUACCUCACCACCAGGAGUGCCCCGCGGAGGUAGGACUGAUUGUUUACCAUCUGUGCAGGGCCCAGGACAAUCCCUGCAUGUGCCAGAUGUGCAGAAAAUACUUGCUAAUGGAAUAAAGGAAUGAGUCCCCA